CCUGGCUCAGGAUGAACGCUGCGGCUGCUUAACACAUGCAAGUCGAACGAAGCACUACCGACGGAACUUUUUCGGAGGGAAGAUGGUAAUGACUGAGUGGCGGACGGGUGAGUAACGCGUGGGCAACCUGCCCCAUAGAGGGGGACAACAGCUGGAAACGGCUGCUAAUACCGCAUAACAAGGAGAGAGCGCAUGUUCUUUUCUUCAAAGAUUUAUCGCUAUGGGAUGGACCCGCGUCUGAUUAGCUGGUUGGUGAGGUAACGGCUCACCAAGGCGACGAUCAGUAGCCGGCUUGAGAGAGUGGACGGCCACAUUGGGACUGAGACACGGCCCAGACUCCUACGGGAGGCAGCAGUGGGGAACAUUGCACAAUGGGGGAAACCCUGAUGCAGCGACGCCGCGUGAGUGAAGAAGUAUUUCGGUAUGUAAAGCUCUAUCAGCAGGGAAGAUAAUGACGGUACCUGACUAAGAAGCCCCGGCUAACUACGUG
rnacentral:rRNA from 1 species